CGGGGGGAGCAAGCGUUGUUCGGAUUUACUGGGCGUAAAGGGCGCGUAGGCGGCGCAACAAGUCACUUGUGAAAUCUCCGGGCUUAACUCGGAGCGGCCAAGUGAUACUGUCGUGCUAGAGUGCGGAAGGGGCAACUGGAAUUCUCGGUGUAGCGGUGAAAUGCGUAGAUAUCGAGAGGAACACCUGCGGCGAAGGCGGGUUGCUGGGCCGACACUGACGCUGAGGCGCGAAAGCCAGGGGAGCGAACGGGAUUAGAUACCCCGGUAGUCCUGGCCUUAAACGGUGGAUGCUUGGUGUCCGGGGUUACAUAGUCCCCGGGUGCCGUCGCUAACGCCUUAAGCAUCCCGCCUGGGGAGUACGCACGCAAGUGUG
rnacentral:rRNA from 1 species